rnacentral:misc_RNA from 1 species
GAUGAAGAACGUAGCAAAAUGCGAUACUUGGUGUGAAUUGCAGAAUCCCGUGAACCAUCGAGUUUUUGAACGCAAGUUGCGCCCGAAGCCAUUAGGCCGAGGGCACGCCUGCCUGGGCGUCACACGUCGUUGCCCCCCCAUCUACUCCUUCGGGAUUGCGGGGGGCGGAUGAUGGCCUCCCGUGCGCCUCGUCGCGCGGUUGGCAUAAAUGCCAAGUCCUCGGCGACACACGCCACGACAAUCGGUGGUUGCGAAACCUCGGUUGCCCGUCGUGUGCGGUCGUCGCGCAUCGAGGGCUCGAAAAAAUUGCCGGGCUCCGGCUCGGCUUUCAACGCGACCCCAGGUCAGGCGGGGUUACCCGCUGAAUUUAAGCAUAUCAAUAAGCGGAGGA